AAGUCUCAACUCUUGAGUAGGCUUGUCUGUCUAAUCUGGAGCUUGGACUUGGAGUGUGCUGGCCUGGCUUGUCAUAGGUCGGCUCCUCUUAAAAGUAUCAGCAGAUGUGUUUAGGGGCUUUUGCUGACUUCAGCGUGAUAAGUGUGUUGCGUUGUGCUGUUGUCUGGCAUUGCAUGUUGAAGGGGGGUGUUCUGCUUACAAUUCGUCUGCAUUAAAUGACCUUGUUUGAAA
rnacentral:misc_RNA from 1 species